rnacentral:rRNA from 1 species
AACGCGAAAGGGACUUCGGUCCUGAGUAAAGUGGCGCACGGGUGAGUAACGCGUGGAUAAUCUGCCCAAUGAUCCGGGAUAACAUUCCGAAAGGGGUGCUAAUACCGGGUAAGACCACGGAGUCUUUGGAUUCUGCGGUAAAAGGUGGGGACCUUCGGGCCUACCGUCAUUGGAUGAGUCCGCGUACCAUUAGCUAGUUGGUAGGGUAAAGGCCUACCAAGGCGACGAUGGUUAGCUGGUCUGAGAGGAUGAUCAGCCACACUGGAACUGAGACACGGUCCAGACUCCUACGGGAGGCAGCAGUGGGGAAUUUUGCGCAAUGGGGGAAACCCUGACGCAGCAACGCCGCGUGAGUGAUGAAGGCCUUCGGGUCGUAAAGCUCUGACAGAGGGGAAGAAAUGCAGUCAUGCUAAUAUCAUGGUUGCUUGACGGUACCCUCAAAGGAAGCACCGGCUAACUCCGUGCCAGCAGCCGCGGUAAUACGGAGGGUGCAAGCGUUGUUCGGAAUUAUUGGGCGUAAAGCGCGUGUAGGCGGCUUGUCAAGUCCGAUGUGAAAGCCCCGGGCUCAACCCGGGAAGUGCAUUGGAAACUGGCAGACUUGAAUACGGGAGAGGGUAGUGGAAUUCCUAGUGUAGGAGUGAAAUCCGUAGAUAUUAGGAGGAACACCGGUGGCGAAGGCGGCUACCUGGACCGGUCCUGACGCUGAGGCGCGAAAGCGUGGGGAGCAAACGGGAUUAGAUACCCCGGUAGUCCACGCCGUAAACGAUGGGCACUUG